AAUAAACCCUGAGUUUUCGUAUCCAACGUUUAACCGUCCGUCUUAUUUAAAAAAAUUAUGAAAAAAUUUAAAAAGAUAAGUUACGCAUAAAGUAUUAAUCAUAUUUUAUUAUCUAACAACAAUGAAAAUACUAAUUAUAAAAAAAUUUCAUACAAGACGACAGUCAAACGUUAUACACGGAAACGCAGUGUUUGUCUUUUU
rfam:Oryza sativa Japonica Group DNA, chromosome 9, cultivar: Nipponbare, complete sequence.